rnacentral:misc_RNA from 1 species
GAAAGGGUGUAUUACAGGCCCAUCCACACUCGGUUAGAGGGGCCAGUGCACGACGGAUGGCUCACUAGGGUGAACAUUAUGUUGGCUAGCGCUGUUUCAGACGCAGGCGUAGUCGUUGACGUCGUGGUCCAUAGGCGAGCCUCGAGCAGCUCCCUCCAAGGCAAUGUAGUUGCUGACGCUGCCGCAGUGGAAGCGUACGAGUGCGGGGACGCCGAGGCGAUUCUCCUGGGGGACGUGGCGGGUCCACAUCUAAAUAUGGCUAGGGCUAGUAGUGCCUCAGCUCGCACACUGCCGCGGAACGCGGGGCAGCAGGCGGAGCGAGAGCCUCCUAUCAUCGACGCGUGUUUCUUCUACUUAUGCACCCCCGUGAACCCGAGGGUCACGCAGCGCGUGUUCCAUUAUUUGAACAUUAUACCAUUCGGGCUGCAUCGCCCCUCGGAGGUGUUUGGUGUGGUGGGACGUCAUACAAACCUCGGCCUGGUGUCGGGGGUGACAAAGGACGGCCAGUAUCGUCUCGUGCCCUACCCACCACAGCAGCCGCAGCCACUGUACCUUGAGCGGGUACGGCACUCGCCACACUUCUUGUACCCCCACGACUAUCCCGCCACUGGCACCAUUGACCCUUCAUGUCUCCGCCGUAUCCGACACGAAAGCCGCAGCGACCGUGUGCAGCAAGCAACGAAGAACUUCUUCUGUCGGGCCGCUGCGCGGCAGGGGUGGGACGUGCACCGCCCGAGCAAUCCCUGCUCUACCUCCGUGGUGCAGUCCGCGAAUGCAUUGGCAGUGUCUGGGGGCUUGACUUCACUGCAGCUUGGAGUGAGUAGGCCGCGCUCACGCACACGUCGGCGCGGCUCGCACGCGGUGCCGCUGGGUGCCGCGCCUUCUUUUCCAGAGCUCCUGACAGUCAUCGCGCCAGCGGCGAAGGGCCCUUAUGCUGCCCCUCGACCUCCCCUGGAGGAAACACCGACGCCCUCCUCACCGCUGGCUGCAGAGUUUGUGCCGCUUAGUGGACACCCAGAUGCCGAUGACGGGCCAUCGCCGAUUAUGGUUGCCGGUACUGAGGAGUCGCGGGAGUUGUUAUGUACACUGGCGGAGCUGCAGCUCCCUCCUACCCUCGCGCUGCAUGAGCCCGUUCCACCCCUUCGUGUAGGCACGCGCGUUAUCGCUCGCCGCCUGGGGUGCGCCGAGGCACUCCACAUGGGUACUGUGCUGGCAGUCAGCUUCGAUGUCACCUACACCGUUCGCUACGACGCUGACGGCGGCAUCGACAAGGGUGUUCUUCACAGUGACGUGCACGUGCUCAACGCUGAGGACGAGGGUGAUGCGCAGGGUCGACAACGACCGUGGCACCGGCGCGCGCGCGAGCGCAGCGCGGAGCCGUGCACGGUGCGGGACCAAGUCAUGGUAGAAGUCGCGCAGCCGCCACAGCGGGCCGUCGUCAUGGCCGCCCUCGGCGGCGGUCGAUAUCAGGUUGCCGUUGCCGCGGCACCGGUGCCCUUGAUUGAGGUGGAAGCCUGCAAUGUGCUCUCGGUAGCGCCGGUGCUGGCCGGUGCCGUGUUUGCGCCGCCGCAUCACCUCACUCUCUUCCGCCAACUUGAUACAACCGGGACGGGGCACAUUAGCUGGAAAGACAUGCGACACUUUAUCCUUUCCUGGGAAGGCUUCGGCCAGCCCCUCUCCUUUCGGCGACUGGGUGAGAUCCAGCGCGACAUGUGCAUCUGCAAACGCAGCGCGGGGCCGAAGCUGCUGUCAAAAAUACCGGUCCAGGAGGAGGGGCAUCAGCUGUCCUUUCAAGAUUUCGAAUACGUGCUCUUGCGUGCUGCGAAUCUGCUCUAGUCACCGUGUGACCACCAGUUGUGCGCAGUCUCCUGCUCCUGUGGGAGUGUCUGUGUCUGUGUGCGCCUGUGCUGCGGCUGCGACGCCCAGAGAACAUAUGAUGUACUAUACGAGAAUUAACAUUAUUUGUUUGUACUUGUUUUUCCCCUGAGUGCGCUUCUUAUUCCCCCCACCCUUCCCCUAACGCCUGCUGAUGCGGGACCACCUCAGCCUGAUAUCAUACAGGGCUCAGUACCCACCCUCCGUGUGCCGACGGACAGUGCUGGGCUGAGCGGGCGCUCUGCCGGACAGGCUUGCAGCCAUGCCGAUCACAUUUGUGCCAGCUCACUACGAAUCAUGUCGGCGAUUCAAACAAGUCUAAGCAACCACCUACGGCUUUUUUUGCUUGCUUAGCUGCGCUGCGGUGAUGUUGAGCGUGAUCCUGGGCCCAGCCUGCGCUGUGUGGCAGCAGAAGUG